GACGAACGCUGGCGGCGUGCUUAACACAUGCAAGUCGAACGGUGAAAGCGGAGCUUGCUCCGCUGGAUCAGUGGCGAACGGGUGAGUAACACGUGGGCAACCUGCCCCUCACUUCGGGAUAACUCCGGGAAACCGGGGCUAAUACCGGAUAUGACCUCCUUGGGCAUCCUUGGAGGUGGAAAGUUUUUCGGUGAGGGAUGGGCCCGCGGCCUAUCAGCUUGUUGGUGAGGUAGUGGCGCACCAAGGCGACGACGGGUAGCCGGCCUGGGAGGGAGACCGGCCACACUGGGACGGAGACACGGCCCAGACUCCUACGGGAGGCAGCAGUGGGGAAUAUUGCGCAAUGGGCGAAAGCCUGACGGAGCAACGCCGCGUGCGGGAUGACGGCCUUCGGGUUGUAAACCGCUUUCAGCAGGGAAGAAGCCGCAAGGUGACGGUACCUGCAGAAGAAGCACCGGCUAACUACGUGCCAGCCGCCGCCGUAA
rnacentral:rRNA from 1 species